CACAUGCAAGUCGAGGGGCAGCGGGGAGGUAGCAAUACCUUUGCCGGCGACCGGCGCACGGGUGAGUAACACGUAUGCAAUCCACCUGUAACAGGGGGAUAACCCGGAGAAAUCCGGACUAAUACCCCAUAAUAUGGGCGCUCCGCAUGGAGAGUUCAUUAAAGAGAGCAAUUUUGGUUACAGACGAGCAUGCGCUCCAUUAGCCAGUUGGCGGGGUAACGGCCCACCAAAGCGACGAUGGAUAGGGGUUCUGAGAGGAAGGUCCCCCACAUUGGAACUGAGACACGGUCCAAACUCCUACGGGAGGCAGCAGUGAGGAAUAUUGGUCAAUGGUCGGCAGACUGAACCAGCCAAGUCGCGUGAGGGAAGACGGCCCUACGGGUUGUAAACCUCUUUUGUCGGAGAGUAAAGUACGCUACGCGUAGCGUAUUGCAAGUAUCCGAAGAAAAAGCAUCGGCUAACUCCGUGCCAGCAGCCGCGGUAAUACGGAGGAUGCGAGCGUUAUCCGGAUUUAUUGGGUUUAAAGGGUGCGUAGGCGGCACGCCAAGUCAGCGGUGAAAUUUCCGGGCUCAACCCGGAGUGUGCCGUUGAAACUGGCGAGCUAGAGUGCACAAGAGGCAGGCGGAAUGCGUGGUGUAGCGGUGAAAUGCAUAGAUAUCACGCAGAACCCCGAUUGCGAAGGCAGCCUGCUAGGGUGCGACAGACGCUGAGGCACGAAAGCGUGGGUAUCGAACAGGAUUAGAUACCCUGGUAGUCCACGCAGUAAACGAUGAAUACUAACUGUUUGCGAUACAAUGUAAGCGGUACAGCG
rnacentral:rRNA from 1 species